CUUGUCUGCAUUUUGCUACUGAGCGAAACAUUUAAAUCUGUUAAUCUCAAGCAAGACCCUAGCCGUACAAAAUUGCUGUUCUAUUUGACACAUUGCUGACAAAGCAGAAGUUGCAGUCAUUUUAAUUCUCAUGACCAUGGGACACAUCGGUGACCUGAAUAGUUUAAGAGAACACCACAAGCAUUGAGAAGGAUCUAUCUGCAGCCCGUGUCAGGGAAGAUCCGCUCAUAUUGAACACACUCCCCCG